rnacentral:rRNA from 1 species
GAUGAACGCUGGCGGCGUGCCUAAUACAUGCCAGUCGAGCGAACAGACGAGGAGCUUGCUCCUCUGACGUUAGCGGCGGACGGGUGAGUAACACGUGGAUAACCUACCUAUAAGACUGGGAUAACUUCGGGAAACCGGAGCUAAUCCCGGAUAAUAUAUUGAACCGCAUGGUUCAAUAGUGAAAGACGGUUUUGCUGUCACUUAUAGAUGGUUCCGCGCCGCAUUAGCUAGUUGGUAAGGUAACGGCUUACCAAGGCAACGAUGCGUAGCCGACCUGAGAGAGUGGUCGGCCACACUGGAACUGGGACACGGUCCAGACUCCUACGGGAGGCAGCAGUAGGGAAUCUUCCGCAAUGGGCGGAAGCCUGACGGAGCAACGCCGCGUGAGUGAUGGAGGUCUUCGGAUCGUAAAACUCUGUUAUUAGGGAAGAACAAAUGUGUAAGUAACUAUGCACGUCUUGACGGUACCUAAUCAGAAAGCCACGGCUAACUACGUG